GCGCAGGUGGAGAAAUUGGCAAACUCACUACCUUGAGGGGGUAGCGCCGUAAGGCUUGCGGGUUCAAGUCCCGCCCUGCGCA
rnacentral:tRNA from 1 species